UACAGAGGGUGCGAGCGUUAAUCGGAAUUACUGGGCGUAAAGGGCUCGUAGGUGGCCCCAUAAGUCAGACGUGAAAUCCCUCGGCUCAACCGAGGAACUGCGUCUGAGACUGCGGGGCUUGAAUCCGGGAGAGGGAUGCGGAAUUCCAGGUGUAGCGGUGAAAUGCGUAGAUAUCUGGAGGAACACCGGUGGCGAAGGCGGCAUCCUGGACCGGUAUUGACACUGAGGAGCGAAAGCCAGGGGAGCAAACGGG
rnacentral:rRNA from 1 species